CCCGAGUCACGCCAUCUUCCCUAUCCCACCGCCGUAAUGAAAUCAAAUUGGAAGUUGUAUCUGAGCGAUGAGGAGAUAUCAUACUCGAAAGGCUCACUUUCCUUAUGGUUGGCGCUGCUAAAGGUCGUUUUCCCAUGAUCAAUUGAUGAGUCACUGACGGAGAACACAAAUGGGGCCUCGAUCGGCACGAAGGAGGUCGAACUUAGGUGUGGAAAUGUGGGGGGUCGAGAUUCCACGAUGAACCGACUGCCGAUCUACCCCCUCCCCUUUUGCCAACCAGCGCCCCUGCCUCUUGUGAGGAAGACCAAUAGAUCGAUCCCCUCCUACUAUUUCUAAUUCAAUUUCUAACGAUGAGUCAUCUCUAUUGUGUGAGGAAAUUCGGAAUGAGGUGAUGGUUAGCGGCAAAUUUGUGACGGAGCCGGAAGCCACACAAUCGGUGGUUCGAUUGCCAACCGGAAGUGUUUUUAAAUAAUCUAUAAAUUGUAAAAAUAAGUUUCAAUAAUUUAUAAGCUCUUCAGAAAACAAAUUCUUC
rnacentral:lncRNA from 1 species